UUGAUGGGGGUGAAAGGCCAAUCAAACUCGGAGAUAGCUGGUUUUCUGCGAAAUCUAUUUAAGUAGAGCGUUAUCGAUAAAAUGGGGGUAGGGCUCUGGAUUCUUGAUGGGGGCGCAAGCUUUACUGACAGUGUUUAAACCUUGAAUACCACGAUAGCAGACAGGCUGCGGGUGAUAAGAUCCGUAGCCAAGAGGGAUACAGCCCAGACUGUAGGAUAAGGUUCCUAACGAUGACUAAGACAAAGGCAGGUACUGCUCAGACAACCCUAAUGGUGGGCUUAGAAGCAGCCAUCCAUUAAAGAGGUCGUUAAAGAUCAUGGGACUAGCUACUAUUUGCCGAAAAUGUUGAAGUGGAGUUUUCGUCCGAAGCCACAGUUUUUAAGGUAGCAGAAUGCUCGUAAAGGGCCAUAUAAAACGCCGAUUAGGCGUUUUAUUUUAAUCGGUUUGAAAAAAUCGGUGAACUUUUGCGAGGUAACAAUGUUAGCAUGAGUAACUAAAAAUAUUGUGCGAACCAAUAUCACCGAAAGCCCGAGGUUUUCCCCAAAAGGACAAUCCUAGGGGUGUGAAACGGUUCCUAAGGGUAAAUUCGAAA
rnacentral:rRNA from 11 species